AACUGUAUCCCACUGCUACUGAUUUUAAUGAAGAAGACAAAGAGCAACUACAGGAAAGAAAAAUUAGCUCUGAUGAUUCAAAAAGUGAAAGUCAAAAUGCUGGCGAAGAUGAAUGAAAGAUGGUACUGGAAGAACUGGAAUAAGAAAAAA